rnacentral:rRNA from 1 species
UACGUAGGGGGCAAGCGUUGUCCGGAAUCAUUGGGCGUAAAGAGCGCGUAGGCGGCCCGACAAGUCCGCUGUGAAAGUCAGGGGCUCAACCCUUGAAUGCCGGUGGAUACUGUCGGGCUAGAGUCCGGAAGAGGCGAGUGGAAUUCCUGGUGUAGCGGUGAAAUGCGCAGAUAUCAGGAGGAACACCGAUGGCGAAGGCAGCUCGCUGGGACGUGACUGACGCUGAGACGCGAAAGCGUGGGGAGCAAACAGG